UGCUUUGGUUGCAGUACAUACAAUGCAGAUUUUGAUGGUGAUGAGAUGAAUGUGCAUUUUCCACAAGAUGAGAUUUCACGUGCUGAGGCCUACAAUAUUGUCAAUGCUAACAACCAAUAUGCUAGGCCUUCUAAUGGCGAGCCACUUCGAGCUUUAAUUCAGGUUUAACUUCCAUGCUAUUUCUUCAAACCUUUA